GUCCGCACGAGCGCAACCCUACGUUUAGUUGCUAACGCGUGAAGGCGAGCACUCUAGACGAACUGCCGUUGACAAAACGGAGGAAGGUGGGGAUGACGUCAAAUCAUCAUGCCCCUUAUGUUCUGGGCUACACACGUGCUACAAUGGCCGGUACAGACGGACGCAAAGCCGCGAGGUGGAGCAAAUCCUAAAAAGCCGGUCUCAGUUCGGAUUGCAGGCUGCAAUUCGCCUGCAUGAAGUCGGAAUCGCUAGUAAUCGCAGGUCAGCAUACUGCGGUCGAAUACGUUCCCGGGCCUU
rnacentral:rRNA from 1 species